rnacentral:rRNA from 1 species
AGAGUUUGAUCCUGGCUCAGGAUGAACGCUGGCGGUAUGCCUAAUACAUGCAAGUCGAACGCAUUCUCGUUUUAGAUUGACGGUGCUUGCACCAGAUUGAAAAGACAUUUGAAUGAGUGGCGGACGGGUGAGUAACACGUGGGUAACCUGCCCAAAAGUGGGGGAUAACAUUUGGAAACAAAUGCUAAUACCGCAUAAAAGUUAGAACCGCAUGGUUCUAAUUUGAAAGAUGGUUUCGGCUAUCACUUUUGGAUGGACCCGCGGCGUAUUAGUUAGUUGGUGAGGUAAUGGCUCACCAAGACAAUGAUACGUAGCCGAACUGAGAGGUUGAUCGGCCACAAUGGGACUGAGACACGGCCCAUACUCCUACGGGAGGCAGCAGUAGGGAAUCUUCCACAAUGGGCGCAAGCCUGAUGGAGCAAUACCGCGUGAGUGAAGAAGGGUUUCGGCUCGUAAAACUCUGUUGUUGGAGAAGAACGUAUGUGAUAGUAACUGAUCAUGUAGUGACGGUAUCCAACCAGAAAGCCACGGCUAACUACGUGCCAGCAGCCGCGGUAAUACGUAGGUGGCAAGCGUUAUCCGGAUUUAUUGGGCGUAAAGCGAGCGCAGGCGGUUUUUUAAGUCUGAUGUGAAAGCCCUUGGCUCAACCAAGGAAGUGCAUCGGAAACUGGAGAACUUGAGUGCAGAAGAGGACAGUGGAACUCCAUGUGUAGCGGUGAAAUGCGUAGAUAUAUGGAAGAACACCAGUGGCGAAGGCGGCUGUCUGGUCUGUAACUGACGCUGAGGCUCGAAAGCAUGGGUAGCGAACAGGAUUAGAUACCCUGGUAGUCCAUGCCGUAAACGAUGAAUGCUAGGUGUUGGAGGGUUUCCGCCCUUCAGUGCCGCAGCUAACGCAUUAAGCAUUCCGCCUGGGGAGUACGACCGCAAGGUUGAAACUCAAAGGAAUUGACGG